GCUGGGCACAGAGGUGCACGCCUGUAAUCCCAGUGGCUCAGGAGGCUGAGGCAGGAGGAUUGCGAGUUCAAGCCAGCCUCAGCAAAAAUUGAGGCACUAAGCAAAUCAUUGAGACCCUGCCUCUA
rnacentral:sRNA from 1 species